UAGAGUGUAGCUCAGUGGUAGAGUCCUUGCCUAGCAUGUGUGAGCCCCUGGGUUCAAUCCCCAGUACUAUAA
rnacentral:tRNA from 1 species